rnacentral:rRNA from 1 species
UGAGCAACCUGCCCUUGACACUGGAAUAACAGUUGGAAACAGCUGCUAAUACCGGGUACGACCUCGUGCGGCAUCGCGCAAGGUGGAAAGCUCCGGCGGUCAAGGAUGGGCUCGCGGCCUAUCAGCUAGUUGGUGAGGUAACGGCUCACCAAGGCGACGACGGGUAGCUGGUCUGAGAGGAUGGCCAGCCACAUUGGGACUGAGACACGGCCCAGACCUCUACGGGA